rnacentral:misc_RNA from 1 species
GGCCAACACGAGCACGGCGGAUGGCACGGCUAAUAGCUUUGACAGCCUCAUCCUGACCAAUGAUACGCGUAUGGAGUGUCUCCUCCAUCUUAAGGAGACGGUCAGACUCAUCAGAUGAGACUUUCUCCACAGGUAUUCCAGUCCAAGAGGACACGAUAUGCUGAAUAUCUGCCUCAGUAACAAGGGGACCGACUUCACCGGAUUCAGUCUCUGCUUUAA